rnacentral:SRP_RNA from 1 species
GUUGGGUGUGGUGGUGCGCGCCUGUAAUCCCAACUACUUGGGAGGCUGAGGGAGAAGAAUCACUUGAACCUGGGAGGCCGAGGUUGCAGUGAGCUGAGAUCGUGCCACUGCACUCCAGCCUGGGUGACAGAGUGAGACUCUGUCUCAC